CAAUAGCGUAUAUUUAAGUUGUUGCAGUUAAAAAGCUCGUAGUUGGACUUCUGCGGGUGGCGGCCGGUCGUGCUCGAAACGGGCGUGAACUUGGCGUGCUGCCCGCAUCUUUGGGGAGAUUGUGCGUGGCAUUAAGUUGUCGUGCAUGGGAUUCUCAUCAUUUACUGUGAAAAAAUUAGAGUGUUUAAAGCAGGCCUUUGCCUUGAAUACAUUAGCAUGGAAUAAUAAGAUAGGACCGUUGUCUAUUUUGUUGGUUUACAGAUGUCGGUAAUGAUUAAUAGGGAUAGUUGGGGGUAUUCGUAUUCAGUUGUCGGAGGUGAAAUUCUUGGAUUUUCGGAAGACGCACGACUGCGAAAGCAUUUACCAAGGAUGUUUUCAUUAA
rnacentral:rRNA from 1 species